AAAAUGCUGAUGGAUGCGUUUGUAUUAUCUAUAUCUAAAUAUUUAUUUGAAGAAAUGAUUAAACUAAAACAAGAAUAUGUCACCGGGUGAAAAAUUCUCAAAUACCAGCUUAAAGAGCGUCGUCAAAGUAAAGUAAGUCAAGCUUCAAGCUCAAUUCCACCCUGCAAGUUAUGUGGAAAACAAAUGUCACUCACAUUUACGUGACUUUAUUUAUGUUCAAGAGUCUGAAAUUGUGCAUUGUUGUGCGAUCAUUUAUCUUUACAUGUUUGUAGAUAAAUGUUAAUCGUCCAGAAACGCGGUGUUGGUGCUACAUUUAUAACACUCCCUAUCGUCUCACUCCUUAUAAGCAGAAGCAAGAAAAUUCAUUUGGCUCGAGUAAAUGCUUACGAAGUUUGUUAUUGAGAAUAGAACGCUAAAAAACACCGAAAUGGCUACACUGUCCCUAUUUAUAAUUGUGAAAUAUAAUUUUUGUUCAAUUCGACUUUGGCAUGAUAUCAACUUUAAGAACUAUUCUUAAAAGCAAUAAAAACUGACCAGUGGAGUAACUGGACAUUCUAGAGGGGGUGUGAAGUGUAAAAUUUUCCAACAAACAAGCGAGUUCACUAUAGCAAA